GUCUCUCUCUCUCUCUCUCACUCACGCUCUCUCUCUCACCCUCUCUCCCUCUGCCUCUCCCUCUUCGUUGCUCCUCUCCCCUCCCUCUCUCACCGCCACUCGACCAGCCGCGCCUCCGCCACUCCUCUUCGUGGUCACGGGUAACUGGACCAUCGAUUCACCUAGAUUUGCCCAAUUUUUUCUCUCUAAAAUCUCUCUAUAUUCGUAUAUCUGUCUAUCCAUCAACGGCGAGACCAAUGUAUGUAUAUAUAUGUGUGUGUGUGUGGAUUUGUAUGUGAUUGUUAGGGUUUUGGAGAUGUAGGGAAGGUUGAAUGAUAGAAGAGAAAUUGUGGUGAAGAAGCUGUCGCAGAGCUCGAAUCAGGGGAAAAAUGAGUUCAAGAACAAGGCCAAGCUGUUGGCUUGUGUAUAGCACCGCAAUGUUGUCAAUUUGUUGGGGUAUUGUGCGCACAGUGCGGAGAAGUUGCUUGUGUAUGAGUACAUAACUAAUGAGAGCUUGGAAAGCUUCUCUUUAAUGACUUUGUUACGUGGACUUUCAGAGAAAUAUUUUGGUGUAUAGAGACGAAAUUGUACUUUUGUAUAGAAGUAAUAUAAUAACUUUGUCAUCCCCGACUUUUGUGCAGUUAACUAUUACUGAUAUAGAAAAAUUUUGGCAGCCAACAGAUAAUUACUGGCAUGGUACAUAGAUCACCUUUUGUCGCCGUACAUAUAUAUGAUUGUUUGUCGUGGUACAUAGAUGUACUUUUGUCUUGGUACAUACAUCACCUUUGGUCGUGGUACAGAUUACGAUGUUAAUUUGUACCAUGCCAAAUGGUCAUUUCACAUGGUAGUAAAUGUAAUUUAUGUAUAUGGAGGGCUUUGUUUUUUGUAUGAUUCUAUAUUUUGUAUGGAAUUAUUAUUUUAGUUUGGACAAUAGUUGGUUUGUAUGUACUUGGACAGUUAAAGUUAUUUAUUUUUUGUAUACGGAUGCAGAUUGUGGAAUGA